rnacentral:rRNA from 1 species
AUGACUGUCCUUCGAGUGCCCAAGAAACUGUUAAAGGAGAUCGACAAAUGCCCUCGUAGGUUCCUCGGGAAACAAGAUGAGGAGAUCACAGGGGGUAGCUGCAAGGUAAAUUGGUUUGCGGUGUGCACUCCCACAUCAAAUGGUGGUCUGGGGAUCCUUGACCUCGAGCGGUUCAGCCGUGCCCUUAGACUACGGUGGCUUUGUAUCUCCUGGACAGACCCGGAGUGGCCAUGGGUUGGCACGGAGCCACCAUGCAAUGCUAGUGACAAGGCCCUUUUUGCAGCAGCGACCAAGAUCACCAUUGGAGACGGUGCAACAACUCUCUUUUGGCACUCCUCCUGGAUCGGCGAAAACACUCUAGCUAACUCCUACCCCCUCCUCUACAAGCAUUCUAGGCGAAAGAACCGGACGGUAGGGGAAGCGCUUAGAGGAGAAGCAUGGAUAAAAGACCUACAACAUGGAGACGUCCAGUCACUGCUAUCGAAAUUCAUCCGGCUGCACCGCCUGCUUGCAACGGCUGCCACAAAGCUUGUGGAGGGACACAGAGACCGGAUCAGAUGGGUUUUUGAGGGUAAGGGCUAG